CGUACACUCCUGCGGGAGGCAGCAGUGGGGAAUAUUGCACAAUGGGCGCAAGCCUGAUGCAGCCAUGCCGCGUGUAUGAAGAAGGCCUUCGGGUUGUAAAGUACUUUCAGCGGGGAGGAAGGCGAUAAGGUUAAUAACCUUGUCGAUUGACGUUACCCGCAGAAGAAGCACCGGCUAACUCCGUGCCAGCAGCCGCGGUAAUACGGAGGGUGCAAGCGUUAAUCGGAAUUACUGGGCGUAAAGCGCACGCAGGCGGUCUGUCAAGUCGGAUGUGAAAUCCCCGGGCUCAACCUGGGAACUGCAUUCGAAACUGGCAGGCUAGAGUCUUGUAGAGGGGGGUAGAAUUCCAGGUGUAGCGGUGAAAUGCGUAGAGAUCUGGAGGAAUACCGGUGGCGAAGGCGGCCCCCUGGACAAAGACUGACGCUCAGGUGCGAAAGCGUGGGGAGCAAACAGGAUUAGAUACCCGUGUAGUCCCAUG
rnacentral:rRNA from 1 species